GUGGGGAAAUUAACAAGAUGGCACCAGUCAGGCUCUCUCACCCCACGCUCUCAUGCCCUCUAGCCCCACGUUACUGUAAACAAUGACAUUGCACGGUUAUGUAACAGUUGAGAUCGCUUAUAGCUCUGCGCACAUGCAUCACGAGGUACUCACUUGGCAACGGGCUACUUUCCUUCCGUAAGUAUAUAUAAGCUCCACCAGGAAAAGCCCUGAGGGUUGUGUGCUGGUUGUUGCAUUAUGUUAUGUCUGCUGCUAUGGCUCCUGCGCUAGCCAGCAGAGAAUAAGCGCGUCCGCAGUUCCUGCGGCUCCUUGCACUUUCUUCCAACGUCUUGGCUCACACCUCGCCUACCGUGCGUCCAGCGAACAUUGCGCGGUGAGAUAGACAGUUGGCGCUGUGAACUGCAUCAGCAAGACAGCUGCCAUCAUGAACAGAAACGUCCUGGUCAGAGACUGCUGCCCCAGCCUGGGUUUCAGAAUGGAGAUGCCAUGAAGCAGAGCAGCUGGCCACAUGGAGAGAGAAACAAGUCAGAUAGAAACUGUUGCUACGCUCGACCACAGGGAUGUUGACUGCGACCCUCUGGUGCCGGGGGUGCUUGGAUCUGUCUCCACUUGCUCCUCGGACCACGUCUGCUCUCCCCGUUAGCUUCUCCAGGAGACAAAGCUCAAGCUACCAGCCCAUUAAGAUGACGACACCAAGACUGCCGACUGGUCUAGUCUGUGACUCACCCAGGACCAGGCCCCAGGCCAGUGCUCGGGACUCCCCAGGCUGGGCAGAAGAGCAUGAGGGGUCUCCACCCACCUGCUCCUUGGUAUGCCUCUGCCCUGGCAGGGCAGCCCCUUCUUCUGGCCGGCUCUUGACUCUCCUGGGUGCAAUGCCCUUGGAGCAACCCUCAGAGGUUCCUAUCACUCUCCUACCUCCUGCCCCCCUCGCCAAAAACUUAUUAAGCAGUCGCCUGUCACCUCUACCUUAAUAAAUAAGAAUCUCUUUUC
ensembl:lncRNA